GUGGUCGACUCCAGAGAAGCACAACCUGCUGUGACACAGAUAACUGUACUCCACCGCCCCCCACAUUACCCGAUUAUAAUUUUCAGCCAAAUGGCUUAACCUGCCAAACCUGCUUAUCUGUCUCCUCAAAGUGGUGUUCCUCUAUGCAUACCAUAGACUGUACUGGAGAGGAAGACGCCUGCUUGCUCCAAACCAGCCAAUACUACGCUCCCAUAAGGAGAUCAGCAGCAGUUCGUGGAUGUGCCAC